CGCCAGGCGUACGACGAGACGGCCCGGCCGGCGUGGCUGCUGGCCGCGCUGGCGGUGCUACCGGCCACGGCGGUCGCGCUCGCCGCCCGCCGUCC
rnacentral:tRNA from 1 species